UCUCUUCUUUCUAAAAUCCUCCAUUAUGGACACAGGCCGCGUGCAGCCGAGCAAGCUCGCUCAGGUAACUAAAGUUCUUGGGAGAACUGGAUCCCAGGGGCAGUGUACUCAGGUCCGUGUUGAGUUUAUGGAUGAUACUAACCGUUCCAUCAUAAGAAAUGUAAAGGGCCCUGUUCGUGAGAGAGAUGUACUGACGCUGUUGGAAUCUGAGCGUUAAGAUAGAAGAUUACGCUAGCAUGCCUUAUAAACGUGCAUCAAUGGACCUUGCAACAUCUUUGUAUUUUGGCUGAAAAUAAACAUAUUAAAUG